rnacentral:rRNA from 1 species
CUACGGGUUGCUCCAGUGAGGAAUAUUGCACAAUGGGGGGAACCCUGAUGCAGCAACGCCGCGUGGAGGAUGACGCAUUUCGGUGUGUAAACUCCUUUUAUAUGUCAAGAAAAUGACGGUAGCAUAUGAAUAAGCACCGGCUAACUCCGUGCCAGCAGCCGCGGUAAUACGGAGGGUGCAAGCGUUACUCGGAAUCACUGGGCGUAAAGGACGCGUAGGCGGGUUGGAAAGUCAGGUGUGAAAUCCUACAGCUUAACUGUAGAACUGCACUUGAAACUUCUAAUCUAGAGUUUGGGAGGGGGAGAUGGAGUUAGUGGUGUAGGGGUAAAAUCCGUAGAUAUCACUAGGAAUACCUAAAGCGAAGGCGAUCUCCUGGAACAUUACUGACGCUAAGGCGUGAAAGCGUGGGGAGCAAUCAGGAUUAGAUACCCUCGUAGUC